rnacentral:lncRNA from 1 species
GCUACCAUCCUCAGUGUUUUAUAUGCCUGAUAAACCUAAAAAUAUUAAUAAUUAUAAAUGCUAUCUGCUCUGUAUUGAGUUUGUUCAAAAUGAGUUAGACCCUUGUUGAGAGAUUUAUCAUGCUCCUAAGAUCAAGACAUCUAUUCAGAAAGAUUCACUCUUCCGAAGUAUUAUUGCGUUAGAGGCAUGGGCUAUGAAAAAAUAAGGAUAUUUCGAGGAAAUAAAAAGGAGCAAGUGCUUGACAACCUCGCAGAAAAAAUAGACAAGUGUCCGGCAGUAGAAUUAGGGGUACUUCGGUAUCCACCUGAAAGAAAAAAGAAAGAGAAAAGAAGAAAAUGAUAGCCCAUGGUCCCUCUAAUAAGCAAUAUGCCAGCAAGAGUUGACAAGUUUUUAAUUUCCAAAGUCUUUGAUCUAAGAGUAUGACAUUCCCCUCCUCAGAUCCCGUUUUGAUCAGGCAAUAAAUACAAGGUAAGUAUGCUUAAGAAUUUUUGCAAAUUAAAACAGCC